rnacentral:rRNA from 1 species
CCUACGGGUGGCAGCAGUGAGGAAUAUUGGUCAAUGGACGAGAGUCUGAACCAGCCAAGUAGCGUGAAGGAUGACUGCCCUAUGGGUUGUAAACUUCUUUUAUAUGGGAAUAAAAUGUUCCACGUGUGGGAUUUUGUAUGUACCAUAUGAAUAAGGAUCGGCUAACUCCGUGCCAGCAGCCGCGGUAAUACGGAGGAUCCGAGCGUUAUCCGGAUUUAUUGGGUUUAAAGGGAGCGUAGGUGGAUUGUUAAGUCAGUUGUGAAAGUUUGCGGCUCAACCGUAAAAUUGCAGUUGAAACUGGCAGUCUUGAAUACAGUAGAGGUGGGCGGAAUUCGUGGUGUAGCGGUGAAAUGCUUAGAUAUCACGAAGAACUCCGAUUGCGAAGGCAGUUCACUGGACUGCAACUGACACUGAGGCUCGAAAGUGUGGGUAUCAAACAGGAUUAGAUACCCUUGUAGUC